ensembl:lncRNA
UUCCAGUGCUUGACAGCAAGUCCCUAGGAAUCCUUACAGUCUACUAAGCAGAAAAUGGUGUUCUUUCCUCGAGAAGUUAUAAUUUUGUGCAGGAAAGAAGGGAUGGAAAGAAGCACAACUUAACCAAAGAACAUGCCAUUACCAAAAUGCAUUACCAAUCUCCUGUGAAGCAAACAGUGACGAAAUGCAAAGGAGCAGUACUUUUUAUGUUUGAUGGAAAGAUGCUGCAAUGUUUCCUGUUGUAAGAAGCUAAAUGUUUAAAAACGAACAUACACUCUGUUGCUCAGUAGAGACAGGAUUUCACUAUAUUGCCCAGGCCUGUGAUGAACACCUGGCUUCAAGAGACCUUCCUGCCUCAGCCUCCCAAAACUCUGGGAUUACAGGUGUGAGCCACCACAUAAUGUUAUUUUUUUUUUGCCACUGUUCUGUACUAAAUUCUCUUACUCUAAUUUAAUAAAACAAGUGAUUGAUAUCUUCGGUGUGAUGAUUCGUGUUGUAUAAUGGAGCAUUUUGAUACUCAAGCAAACCCAUUAUAUUAAGAGGAAAAGAUGGUACCUUCUGGGCCUGUAGGGAGCAGUGUGUUUGGAAAAAUUUAGAAACACUUGGUGAUCUCAAUAUCAGCUCAAUCACUAUUUUCAUUCCUUUUUCGAAAACCAUACAUUAAAUAUACUUAUUUUUGGAAUAAAAGCAAACACAGCCCUGAAGGAUGAAUGUCUUUCAACUGAAAGUGAAGGCGGGCAAACACAUAUCCACUCAGAAAAACCACAAACUCAUGGGAACUGAACAUUUAACGCCCUGAAAUUCUAAGACCACAGACUAGAAAUAUAGAUAAUGACAGGACUAUCAAGGGGACAACACAUAAUGUCAAGGAGACAUCUUACUUCCGUCUCGGUAAGUGACUUCUUAAUCUCUUUUAAGCACAAUUCAAGACUUCUCCUGAAAGCCUCCUCCACCACUCAAGGGCCAACGAGGAAGACAUCACUCCUCUAUAGGUAAAAAGAAGGGAUCACAGGAAAGACAAUAUAUUUGCACAGUGGCUACCCCAAAUCACUGUUUAUUCUGAGCACACCUGUUUUCUACUUGGGCUCUUAAAUUAGUGAAAUUAAAGAAAUGUUCAAAGAGACUAAAUCAUGUGACUGAAAAGAAAUACAAGUCAUUAAGGGCCACACACACAUGAAGAAAGAUAUGCUUUAAACAUUACAAUUAAUUUGUAAAAUCUACUUAAGUAAGGAAGAAACCAAAGCUGUGAUUUCCAAUUGAAGAAUCAGGGAACUGGCAAAAGUUUUAAUUUUCAGCAGUGUCAUAAAACAGGAGAGCAUUUUAUUAUAAAUCCAAUGUUGCGGGCAAAAUGUUCCCACAAGCAAAUAUUAGGAAUUUAUAGAAAUUAUUUACAUUAUAUUUGUGUGCUUCAUAGGAGCAGGGUGACGAAUUGUGUGUGAUGAGUGAUAAAAGUGAAGCAGGGUGGGAGGGAGUAAGGGUACAGAGAUAAGAUGGCCAAUGGAUGAGGCUGGUGUCUAAGGGAUUAUAAGAAACCAGUUUCAUUUAAAACUGACUCAAAUGACCACCAGAGGGACUCCAAAGUUCACUCAUUGAUUCUAUACUUCAGGCAAGAACUGUUUUAGAAGAUUCAUACAUGGUGUACUCAUACACCAUGCUAAAUAGUUAAAAUAUAGAUAAAAUACAGCAAUAGGUGCUAACCAUCAAUUCAGAGAAAGAAGCUCAGUUGCUUAAAAUUGAGAGCUUUCAAAGAUCAACAAUGGAGGCAAGAAAAAAACCCUAAUAAUCAACAAUGAGAGAUCUGUUAAAUAGCUAAAUUUGGUCUAUGUUUCCUGCUAAUGAUCUAAGACACUGUUAGGCAGGCAGGGUUUUAUUUCUCUGGAUUUUCAGUGUCUCCGUUCUGCCAGAAGAUGUUGCUCCAAUAUAGCUAGGCUUUGGAGGACAAAGUAAUGUGGCAUGAAAUGUGGGCAGACUGGGUAAAAAUGUAAACUGUGUAAGUAUGUAGAAUUAAGGCACAAAGAUAUCCAUUAUAUGGGAAAAGAGGGCCUUACUGUAGUAUGUGUCCCCACUAUAAAUAGUUUAGCAAAAUGUAAACAUGAAAUAUUUCCCCAGUGAUAUUUGCAGCCACAUAAACAGUAGCCCUACUUUUCUUUUCAUUAAAUCUCAUUUCUUAAUAAAGGGACUUCUGUAGGGUAAAAUCUGGGCAAAACAGAAUGAUCUGUAACUUUUUUAUAACCAAGUAUAGCAUACAUAGAAUAAAAACUAGAAUUUAAAAUCAGCAGCUUUCUUUUUUCUUUUCUUUCUUUCCUUUUUUACAAACACAGCUUUGCUUUAAUGUAUAAAAUCCCAUAUGUUAUAGAAACAACCACAGUGGGUACAUUAAGGAAGACAAACUAACAAAGG